rnacentral:lncRNA from 1 species
GGAUGGACCCCGUGGUACGGAGCCGUGUGGGAGCAGUUCUUGAAGAGCUGCUGCCUGUGGGCAGCCCCCGCAGGCUCAGUUCGGGAAGGAGGUGAAAGAGGGUGUGUGUGGGGGGGGAAGGUGUUUUCAGUUUGCUUUUAGUUUCUCACUGCUCUUGUCUGUUAGUAACAGGCCAUAAUCUCCCUUCUGCCCGUUUUGCCCAUGAGAGCAACUGGUGAGCGAUCUCCCUGCCCUUACCUCAACCCAUGAGCUUUUUCUAUUGUAUUUUGUCCCCCUGCUCUGCUGAGGAGAGGAACCAGAGAGCGGCGUGCUGGAGCAGAGCUGCCUGUCGGUGUGAGUCCACCACACCCGGCAGGAGCAAAGUCGGAGGAGCAGCACCAUGGAGGUGCCGGGGCAGCCAAAAGAAGCGGUGGGUGGAUGCAGCUGCCUGCCUGGCUUCCCCUCGGGGCAUCCCAGCCCUGCAAGCAGAGAACUGCCCUCAGCCUCCAGCAGAUCCAGCUGAGCUGCGGCUGCCGGCCUGUUCAGGUGAAAAAAAAGCCCCUUGGAAGUGCUGGGGACCACAAUGCUGAGAAAGCCCCUGCAGGAAAAGGGCAGCUCCUUCCCUUGGGCCCCACUGCUGCCGUCAGGUCCCUUGGUAGCAGGGUGCUGUGGAUGGACCGAAGUGGCCAGGGCUCCACAUCUGCCUUUGCCGCAGGCACUUGGGCCGGUCCGCAGCACCAGCAUCACCUCCCCGUGCAGCCGGUGGGGAUGGCACAGCGGGGCAGCCGCUCACGCGUGCUAAUCCCCGCACGGGUCACUGGCUGGGAACAAGGCGAGGAUUGUUCCUCGGGCUGGGGAAGGCACGGCGAGGGGAGAGGGAAGAUGUGCUGCCCCCCGCCAGGCAGCGGUGAGGAGAAGUCAAAGGGGACUUCUUCAGAGAAAUGGGUGCUGUGUUUGGCUGGAGGGGAGAAAAUGUUUAGAGAUUAUUUUUUUCCCCCACAAUCUCAUUUCUUUCCCGCCCUCCUGGGCCUCUAGACCACAGAAUGGUGCUUACUCAACCCAAUAAAUAUUUAUGGCUUCAGACA